rnacentral:rRNA from 1 species
AAAAACAUGUCUCUUUGUGGUUAAUAAAUAAAGAGUUGGGCCUGCUCAGUGAUAAUAAUUUAACAGCUGCGGUAUUUUAACUGUACUAAGGUAGCAUAAUAAUUUGCCUUAUAAAUUGAGGCUAGAAUGAAUGGUUUAACGAAGGUUUAUCUGUCUCUAUUUUAUUUAGUAGAAGUUAAUUUUUUAGUGAGAAAGCUAAAAUAUUUUAAAGGGACGAGAAGACCCUAAUGAGCUUAAAUUUAAUAAUAUUAUAAAUUAUAGUAUUUAAUAAAUUUUAAUUGGGGUGAUUAAGGAAUAAAAAGCAUAUUAAAUAAUAACUUCCUUAAUUAUAUAAUACUGUUAGGUUAAGUAACCAAUAAUAUUGCUUAUAAUAAAGUUACCAUAGGGAUAACAGCGUAAUUUAUUUAGAGAGUUCUUAUUGAAAAAUAAGAUUGCGACCUCGAUGUUGGAUUAAAGUAACCUUAAGGUGUAGAAGCUUUAUAUGGUAAAUCUGUUCGAUUUU